rnacentral:rRNA from 1 species
GGUACCUACGGGACGCAGCAGUGAGGAAUAUUGGUCAAUGGACUUACGCCUGAACCAGCCAAGUCGCGUGAGGGAAGACUGCCCUAUGGGUUGUAAACCUCUUUUGUCAGGGAGCAACGCCGGCUACGUGUAGCCGGACUGAGAGUACCUGAAGAAAAAGCAUCGGCUAACUCCGUGCCAGCAGCCGCGGUAAUACGGAGGAUGCGAGCGUUAUCCGGAUUUAUUGGGUUUAAAGGGUGCGUAGGCGGAAUGUCAAGUCAGCGGUAAAAUCGCGGGGCUCAACCUCGCUCUGCCGUUGAUACUGG